GACGAACCGUGCGAACGUUGUUCGGAAUCACUGGGCUUAAAGGGCGCGUAGGCGGGCCUCCAAGUCCGGGGUGAAAUCCUCCCGCCCAACGGGAGAAGAGCCUCGGAGGACUGGGGGCCUCGAGGGAGGUAGGGGCGUGCGGAACUAUGGGUGGAGCGGUGAAAUGCAUUGAUAUCCAUAGGAACUCCGGUGGCGAAGGCGGAUCUCUGGGCCGUAACUGACGCUGAGGAGCGAAAGCAUGGGGAGCGAACAGG
rnacentral:rRNA from 1 species